GACGAACGCUGGCGGCGUGCUUAACACAUGCAAGUCGUACGGUAAGGCCCUUUCGGGGGUACACGAGUGGCGAACGGGUGCGUAACACGUGAGUAACCUGCCCACAACUUUGGGAUAACGCUAGGAAACUGGUGCUAAUACUGGAUAUGUGCUCCUGCUGCAUGGUGGGGGUUGGAAAGCUCCGGCGGUUGUGGAUGGACUCGCGGCCUAUCAGCUUGUUGGUGGGGUAGUGGCUUACCAAGGCGGCGACGGGUAGCCGGCCUGAGAGGGUGACCGGCCACAUUGGGACUGAGAGACGGCCCAGACGCCUACGGGAGGCAGCAGUGGGGAAUAUUGCACAAUGGGCGCAAGCCUGAUGCAGCAACGCCGCGGGCGGGAUGACGGCCUUCUGGUUGUAAACCGCUUUCAGCAGGGACGAAGCUUUUUGUGACGGUACCUGCAGAAGAAGCACCGGCUAACUACGUG
rnacentral:rRNA from 1 species